rnacentral:misc_RNA from 1 species
UCGACAAACCUAUUUAUGUAAAAGGUUGUAAGCUCCUUCUAUACUUUUGCUGGUUAUAAGUUAAGAGAAUUAAUAUUGUAGUUGAAGUAUUUCCCGAGUGUAUUACUGUAUUUUGUGGUUGCACAUUUAUUCUGAACCAUCUGGAUGAUGCAUCACAUAACCAAAUAAGAUUUUCUUUCCCUGAUUCUUUCUUGCUAACUUUUCUCCAUAUGGCUACAUCAUAAAUUUUUUAAAAUGAAGCACUCAUGUCAAAAACGGCUG